UACGUAGGGAGCAAGCGUUGUCCGGAAUCAUUGGGCGUAAGGCGCGCGUAGGCGGCCCCGUAAGUCCGCUGUGAAAGUCAAAGGCUCAACCUUUGAAAGCCGGUGGAUACUGUGGGGCUAGAGUCCGGAAGAGGCGAGUGGAAUUCCUGGUGUAGCGGUGGAAUGCGCAGAUAUCAGGAGGAACACCAAUAGCGAAGGCAGCUCGCUGGGACGGUACUGACGCUAAGGCGCGAAAGCGUGGGGAGCGAACAGG
rnacentral:rRNA from 1 species